UCCUCUCCAACCGACUGUAGAAUCUCACAUAUUUAUAUUAUUUUUAUUUUUCAGAUGAGACUUAAACAGAGCAAUUGAGGCGAGAUCGUGCACGAGCUCCAGGAUUUUAGGGGUCGAGAUAGAUUGAUGUCUUUGUUUCCCAGAUUUUAUGAUUUAUCUUAACCCAUUACUUUGUAUUUCUCAAUUAUUUUGUAAACUGUAUUAGGUAGUACUUUAAAUGUUUUGUUGUAUUUAU